rnacentral:rRNA from 1 species
UACGUAGGGGGCAAGCGUUGUCCGGAUUUAUUGGGCGUAAAGAGCGUGUAGGCGGCCAUUCAGGUCAGCUGUGAAAACUCGAGGCUCAACCUCGAGACGUCGGUUGAAACCGUUUGGCUAGAGUCCGGAAGAGGAGAGUGGAAUUCCCGGUGUAGCGGUGAAAUGCGCAGAUAUCGGGAAGAACACCCGUGGCGAAGGCGGCUCUCUGGGACGGUACUGACGCUGAGACGGCGAAAAGCGUGGGGAGCAAACAGG